UACGUAGGUGGCAAGCGUUGUCCGGAUUUACUGGGCGUAAAGAGCGCGCAGGCGGUCGUUCAAGUCGCGUGUGAAAGCCCCCGGCUCAACUGGGGAGGGUCACGCGAUACUGAUCGACUCGAAGGCAGGAGAGGGAAGUGGAAUUCCCGGUGUAGUGGUGAAAUGCGUAGAUAUCAGGAGGAAUACCGGUGGCGAAAGCGACUCUCUGGACGGCAACUGACGCUGAGGCACGAAAGCGUGGGGAGCAAACAGG
rnacentral:rRNA from 1 species